rnacentral:rRNA from 1 species
CAGGCUACCAUGCAGUCGACGCCGUAUCAUACGGAGUGGCAGACGGGUGAGUAACCCGUGGGAACCUUCCCAAUGGUGCGGAAUAGCUCAGGGAAACCUGGGGUAAUACCGCAUACGCCCUUCGGGGGAAAGAUUUAUCGCCAUUGGAUGGGCCCGCGUCGGAUUAGCUAGUUGGUGGGGUAAUGGCCUACCAAGGCGACGAUCCGUAGCUGGUCUGAGAGGAUGAUCAGCCACACUGGGACUGAGACACGGCCCAGACUCCUACGGGAGGCAGCAGUGGG